rnacentral:rRNA from 1 species
CAGCCAUAUGGCGCCGAUGAUAGACUUGGGUACACCCCGGAGUUUAGCAUCAACCCGAUGUGCUUGCGGGAUAGGGAUCUCUGGCUUAUGUGGUGCCCACUGAUAUGCAACUGGGCUGUUGAGUUUCAUUUGCCACAUCGCGUGUUUCGUCAGUUUGGUCUGUUCCAGCCUCACUCGCCGGAAUGGGUGGAUACGAACAAAGCACUUCAUAGGUUGGACAGGAGAAGGCAGCGGAAGAUAAAGGACUGGGACAAGCAUCAUGCUUCGUAUGUUACCCGCUUCCAGCUUUGCAUGGAGCAAGCUCGUAGCAGUGCACGCGCCCAGCUUCAUGAGCAUAACCCACUUGCUUUUGAUAACUACAUACGAUGGCUUCUUGAAAAUACUCGAGUUGAGAUAUGCCCGCCGGCAUAUAAUGAGGAUAUUCUUGAAGAACCCGUGAACUUUGAGGAUCUAUCAAAGGGGAAGUACAACAGAGAUGUCAGGGUAGGGCAAGGAGUCCCUGCUGUUCCGGUGAUUAACUAUGUGCGCACCGAGAUCAAGAAAGCAGCUGAUGAGAGCCAGUCUAUUCUGGAGAACACACCGGUUGGAAAAGGCAAUGAUGAUGGUUCACUACGAGCAUUCCUCAAGCAUCAGGCCAGGAAGUUAAGGCGGUUAUCGAAUCUUCUCGGUUGCCGUGAUCCUGAAUUUGAUGAACCAUCUGCCUCCAGGUCUGGUACACCAUCAGACCCCUCAUCUCACCAUCAGGGGGACGAUGUGAGUUCCUCAUAUGCUUAUCUAGAUGAUGAGGGU